rnacentral:rRNA from 1 species
AGGACGAACGCUGGCGGCGUGCCUAACGCAUGCAAGUCGAGCGAGGAGAUUCCUUCGGGAUGAUCCUAGCGGCGGACGGGUGAGUAACACGUGGGCAACCUGCCUCAUAGAGAGGAAUAGCCUUCCGAAAGGGAGAUUAAUACCUCAUAACAUUGCAGUUUCGCAUGGAACAGCAAUUAAAGGAGUAAUCCGCUAUGAGAUGGGCCCGCGGCGCAUUAGCUAGUUGGUGAGGUAACGGCUCACCAAGGCGACGAUGCGUAGCCGACCUGAGAGGGUGAUCGGCCACAUUGGGACUGAGACACGGCCCAGACUCCUACGGGAGGCAGCAGUGGGGAAUAUUGCACAAUGGGGGAAACCCUGAUGCAAGCAACGCCGCGUGAGUGAUGACGGCCUUCGGGUUGUAAAGCUCUGUCUUCAGGGACGAUAAUGACGGUACCUGAGGAGGAAGCCACGGCUAACUACGUGCCAGCCGCUGC